rnacentral:rRNA from 1 species
GCGUUCUGUAAGCCUGUGAAGGUGGCCUGUGAGGGUUGCUGGAGGUAUCAGAAGUGCGAAUGCUGACAUAAGUAACGAUAAAGCGGGUGAAAAGCCCGCUCGCCGGAAGACCAAGGGUUCCUGUCCAACGUUAAUCGGGGCAGGGUGAGUCGACCCCUAAGGCGAGGCCGAAAGGCGUAGUCGAUGGGAAACAGGUUAAUAUUCCUGUACUUGGUGUUACUGCGAAGGGGGGACGGAGAAGGCUAUGUUGGCCGGGCGACGGUUGUCCCGGUUUAAGCGUGUAGGCUGGUUUUCCAGGCAAAUCCGGAAAACCAAGGCUGAGGCGUGAUGACGAGGCACUACGGUGCUGAAGCGACAAAUGCCCUGCUUCCAGGAAAAGCCUCUAAGCAUCAGGUAACAUCAAAUCGUACCCAAAACCGACACAGGUGGUCAGGUAGAGAAUACCAAGGCGCUUGAGAGAACUCGGGUGAAGGAACUAGGCAAAAUGGUGCCGUAACUUCGGGAGAAGGCACGCUGAUAUGUAGGUGAAGCGACUUGCUCGUGGAGCUGAAAUCAGUCGAAGAUACCAGCUGGCUGCAACUGUUUAUUAAAAACACAGCACUGUGCAAACACGAAAGUGGACGUAUACGGUGUGACGCCUGCCCGGUGCCGGAAGGUUAAUUGAUGGGGUUAGCGGUAACGCGAAGCUCUUGAUCGAAGCCCCGGUAAACGGCGGCCGUAACUAUAACGGUCCUAAGGUAGCGAAAUUCCUUGUCGGGUAAGUUCCGACCUGCACGAAUGGCGUAAUGAUGGCCAGGCUGUCUCCACCCGAGACUCAGUGAAAUUGAACUCGCUGUGAAGAUGCAGUGUACCCGCGGCAAGACGGAAAGACCCCGUGAACCUUUACUAUAGCUUGACACUGAACAUUGAGCCUUGAUGUGUAGGAUAGGUGGGAGGCUUUGAAGUGUGGACGCCAGUCUGCAUGGAGCCGACCUUGAAAUACCACCCUUUAAUGUUUGAUGUUCUAACGUUGGCCCGUAAUCCGGGUUGCGGACAGUGUCUGGUGGGUAGUUUGACUGGGGCGGUCUCCUCCUAAAGAGUAACGGAGGAGCACGAAGGUUGGCUAAUCCUGGUCGGACAUCAGGAGGUUAGUGCAAUGGCAUAAGCCAGCUUGACUGCGAGCGUGACGGCGCGAGCAGGUGCGAAAGCAGGUCAUAGUGAUCCGGUGGUUCUGAAUGGAAGGGCCAUCGCUCAACGGAUAAAAGGUACUCCGGGGAUAACAGGCUGAUACCGCCCAAGAGUUCAUAUCGACGGCGGUGUUUGGCACCUCGAUGUCGGCUCAUCACAUCCUGGGGCUGAAGUAGGUCCCAAGGGUAUGGCUGUUCGCCAUUUAAAGUGGUACGCGAGCUGGGUUUAGAACGUCGUGAGACAGUUCGGUCCCUAUCUGCCGUGGGCGCUGGAGAACUGAGGGGGGCUGCUCCUAGUACGAGAGGACCGGAGUGGACGCAUCACUGGUGUUCGGGUUGUCAUGCCAAUGGCACUGCCCGGUAGCUAAAUGCGGAAGAGAUAAGUGCUGAAAGCAUCUAAGCACGAAACUUGCCCCGAGAUGAGUUCUCCCUGACUCCUUGAGGGUCCUGAAGGAACGUUGAAGACGACGAC